ensembl:lncRNA
CUCACAAACAACCCUUUACCACCACAUUUCUCCACGGGAUUUAUGUUUCAACACCAUCAUCCCAGAUAUUACCCUCUGAGGACACAGAUGAGAACGAAGUGAAGGACAGCUGUGACCCAAAAGCACCCCCAGGACACGAGUGCCGGGCACAGCACACACACCCUGUCCUUCAGCAUUUCCCUUUGCUCCAUUCUCCCCAGCCUUAACCUAAAACCUUUAUUGUUCCGGGAUGACGUUAGGAUGUAUCGGUGUAGACAGAGCUGUCAGGAUUUCUGUUUUUUUUCCCCAAAGCCGUGCCACAUUUCUCACCCUGAUGCUGAGGACAAAAGGACUGAGUCCCACACACACGGCUGUCUGCAGACGGGCAGCAAUAAAAGUUGAUUAUUAAUAAGCCACAUGGAUCCGGGCCAUGGCAGCUGCGACAUUGCUGGGAAGAGAUAAAGAAAAUUGCAGAGGUGGAGGGAAAACGUGCCAAGGGGGGGGACAAGUGUGUCCCCAGCAGAGAUCAACCGGACCCCAAGCACUGCGUGGUCCUGAGUUAUGGAGGAGAAUGAGGACUGGAGACUUCCCAGCUCCCAUUCCUCCACACCAGGGCUGAAGAUUUGGGAUGUGGCGUUUCAAGGCUCAGGGAACACUCAGUGCGAACGCUUUGGGGACUGCUGGGCAGCCCAGUGCCCCCACAUUGCAGAACAUCCCCAGCAGUGUUGGGGAACGGGGCAGAGGGAAGGGCAAGAAAUUCCCAAUCUGUUCGGCUCCCAUUCUUGCCUCCCCUUUUGUUCCACUCGCCAUCUGUCCCGCAGCCCUGCACACCCCACACUCCCUCCACACAUGCUGUAAAUUAUCAAGCUGGGUUUUGUCUCUGCUUCUAAAGGCACAGUGUGCCCGGAGCCGUGCUGCAUCCCCAAGUGCCAGCCUUAGAGCUGUGAGGGCUGGCACUGCCGGGGGUCCUGCUGCUCCUUCCUGACUGCUGGGAUCUGGGGGGCGCACCCCUGCCGUGCUCUGCUCCUCGGGGAUUUGUAAGUGUGCCAUUCCCUCUCAGAGCCAUCCCCGGGGGAGGAGGGGUCCCAAUCCCUCUCUAGGGGAGCAGCACCCCAUCUGCUGUCCCAGCCUGGAUACGGCCUUUUAGCUCACAACAAAGCCACCAACCCGUCAGCAAGGGAGCAAGGGCAGCUGCUCCGCUUCAGCCCAGUCCUUCCCCUUCCCUGUUUUAUCUGGGGCUAUAAUAGACACAAACUCCCGGGUAAAAGGGCAUUGUCAGAGGGAAAAUGGGCCUCACCCUCCGUCUGGCAGCUGGGAGCCAGGGGACGGCGCAGGGCUCAGCGGCAUUGUUGCUGUUUCCAUAAGGCGUUUCCUGGUGUCAGCUGCGUGGGCAGUGGGGCACAGAGAAAGCCCAACAUCCCCUGCGUGGCUCUGAACCCCCACCUGGCAGGGGAACCUUCAGGGACUCAGCAUCCCAGAUAAUGACCUGUGGGGAGCGGUGAUGCUCCCAUCCCAGGGCCGGCCAGACACCACAUCCCCACUGCUGCAGUCCCUCGGUGUGCUUUGGGAAUGGCACAGCCCUCAGGGACAGUGGCACAGCGUCCCCAGGGACAGCAGGGCACAGCUCUGUCCCUACGGUUCAUGCCCCACAAUGUGUUGGGACACUGCACUCCUCCCAUCUCGCAGAGCGGAGGACAGAAGAGUUCAGGACCAGGUUGCCCAGUGCCAACAGACUCC